GUCCUACGGGAGGCAGCAGUGGGGAAUAUUGGGCAAUGGGCGCAAGCCUGACCCAGCAACGCCGCGUGAAGGAAGAAGGCUUUCGGGUUGUAAAGAUCUGUUGACAGGGACGAAUAAGCAAUGCGAAUAGUUUUGUGUAUGACGGUACCUGUUUAGAAAGCUCCGGCUAACUACGUGCCAGCAGCCGCGGUAAUACGUAGGGAGCAAGCGUUGUCCGGAAUUACUGGGCGUAAAGGGCGCGUAGGUGGGCGCUUAAGUCAGGUGUGAAAACUCCGGGCUCAACCUGGAGACUGCACUUGAAACUG
rnacentral:rRNA from 1 species